UUUUAAGCAGGUUUUCACACGUUAUUUUUGAAGGGCGUUUUAGAAGUGUACUCUGGUAGAACUUUAUGUACACGAGUGGUUUUGUUGUCAGUGUGCCUCCACAUAAACCUGGAGAGUUUUAAAUAUUGCUGGGCCCUUCUCAGCAGCUUGUUUUUUAAACGUUUCCAGGUGAUGCAGGUGCUGCUUGCCCAGGGCAUCCUUUCUAACACCAAUAUGUAAAGGGACUAUACUCUUUCCCCGUCACAGCCUCACGCGCACUCCCAGGAGAGGGCAGGCAGGACAGCGGCCUACAGAUGCACGCAAGGCGUGGGUCUGUAAGCUACCAUUAAGGAGUACAACUGUAAAGAGGGGAACCAAGGUUUAUUUUCGUUAACACUUAGGGCUGAGAAGGUGUAUUUAAAUGGUAGUUUGUAGAACACCGAAGUAUUAUGAUGUACCAUUUGCGAAAAAAGGGAAGGUAAAGCUGACUCAAUAGUGGCAACAGCGGGAUAGUGAAAAGUAGAUGGGAAUGAUCUUUAUCGGUGUUGAAGACAAAAAGAACAAGUAGAGGGAGCCGGACGUGACAGAAGUAAGAGACAGGAGGCCUAACUUCGCCUUGGCGAAUGGGAUAGGAAAGCAGCGGUGGCGGCAGCAGCCGGAACGCAGUGACGUACUUCCGUUGGUUGGCCGGCCAUGCGCGCGCUCACUUCCGUCGCGCCUGCGCAGGUAGCCCCUUACUCCCGGUUGUGGCGGAUUUUCGGGAUCCGUAUUACACACAUGUUAUCCUCUCAUAGGAGACUGUGCACUUUUAACUCCCGAGGGCGAUGCGGUCCAGUACAGCCGUCAGGGCCGGCCAGAACGUCUGCAGGUGCCUGUUGUCUGGGUUUAGUCGAGUAGAUGGGGGGCAACCGGAGCAGUUGAUGGAAGGGAGCGGUUCCUUCGUAGGGCCCUUGAGGUCGCAUGCGGAGCUGCCUCCGGUGAGCGAGCCGAGAGAAGGCCCCGAGUCUGGCGGCGAGGAGAGCGAGGCGCUGGUAGAGAUCUGUCAGAAAAGGCGUUUUCUCAGUGGCACCAAGCGACAGCUUAGUCGAGAUUCUCUUCUGAGCGGGUGCCACCCCGGCCUUGGCCCCUUGGGCAUAGAGUUGCGGAAGAACCUGGCGGCGGAAUGGUGGUCCUCGGUGGUGGUGUUCAGGGAGCAGGUCUUCCCCGUAGACGCCCUCCACCAUGAACCAGGCCCUUCGCUGCCCGGGGACAGUGCCUUCAGGUUAGUUUCUGCAGAAACGCUACGCGAAAUCUUGCAAGACAAAGAGCUGAGUAAGGAACAGCUAGGAGCAUUUCUUGAGAACUUACUGAAAACUUCUGGGAAACUACGGGAGAACCUUCUUCACGGUGCCUUGCAGCACUAUGUUAAUUACCUGGAUCUGAUAAACAAGAGGCUACCUUUUGGCCUUGCUCAGGUUGGAGUGUGUUUUCAUCCUGUUUCUGAUACCAAGCAGACAUCUGAUGGUGUUAAAAGAAUCGGUGAAAAGACUGAAGCUUCACUGGUAUGGUUUACUUCAGCAAGAACUGCGAGCCAGUGGCUUGAUUUCUGGUUACGUCAUCGACUCCUGUGGUGGAGAAAGUUUGCUGUGAGUCCAUCUAACUUCAGCAGCAGUGAUUGUCAGGAUGAAGCGGGCCAAAAAGGAAACAAACUUUACUACAAUUUUCCGUGGGGAAAGGAGCCAAUAGAAACCCUGUGGAAUCUAGGAGAUCAUGAACUUUUACACAUGUAUCCUGAAAAUGUAGCUCAAUUACACGGCAGAGAUGGACGGAAAAAUGUGGUUCCUUCUGUUUUAUCCAUAAAUGGAGAUCUAGACCGAGGCAUGCUGGCAUAUCUCUACGAUUCUUUCCAGCUAACAGAGAACUCCUUUACAAGAAAGAAAGAUCUUCAUAGAAAGGUGCUUAAACUUCACCCUUGCUUAGCCCCUAUUAAGGUUGCUUUGGAUGUGGGAAGAGGCCCAACAGUGGAACUAAGACAGGUUUGUCAAGGGCUAUUUAAUGAAUUAUUAGAAAAUGGAAUAUCUGUGUGGCCUGGUUAUUUGGAAACUGUGCCAUCCUCAUUGGAACAUCUUUAUUCAAAAUAUGAUGAAAUGAGUAUCCUCUUCACAGUGUUGAUUACUGAAGCUACUUUGGAGAACGGAUUAAUACAUCUGAGAAGUAGAGACACCACAAUGAAGGAAACGAUGCAUAUAUCCAAAGGGCCUCAGCCUUCACUGGAAGAUUGUAUUCCUGGGCUCAGAUCAGCUGGCUGCACUAACUGGCAACAUGGAAUGUCUAUACUGCAGUUGAGCAGAGGGAGAGAAGGCCAUGUGAAGAUGAGGCAGAGAUUGGAGAGGUGCUGCCACAAGCCAAGAAACACCAGGAGCCACCAGAAACUGGAAGCGGCAAGUGAGACUUCUCCCCCAGAGCCUUUGGAGGGAGCGCAGCUCUGCUGACACCUUGACUUUGGAUUUCUGACCUCUGGAACCGAGAAAAGCAUGCAUAUUUAAUAUAAGUUCACAUUAAAAAGCAUACACAUUGUUUAAUGUAAGUUUGGGUGACGCCGGAGCCCUCGUAAGGAAAUGAAGACCCAGAGAAGAGGCAAAACCUGAAUGCUUUUUGUGCUGGGUCGGACGAAGCGGCAAUGUGGAAAGUGCAGCCUUCUGAACUGAAAGAGAGAAAAGGAACAUGAGAAAACUCUUUUUCCACAUGUUGUUUUGGUUUGGAGAUUCCAGCUUCAAAAUGCAGGGGAUGGAGGGAUCCCCUGAGAACCGAGAAGAGAGAGGGCCCUCACAAGCCCUGGCCUCUGCUUCCUCUGUGGCUGCCCCAGCCAGAUUUCCUGUUAAAACGGAGGUGACGAAUAGAUGAUCACAUUAAGAAAUGGACACGCACUUCUGCUGACCUCAAGCCAGUUGGGCAUGGACAAAGCUACACACACACACUGGACUGAGAAUCACGCUGAAAGAAUUCAGCGAGAGACAAAAUGAUAAGAAAGAAGUGGAUUUAUUCAGAGAGAAACACAAAAGGCUAUGUCAUUCUUUUAAAGGUUGUGCCCUGCCUGCUUCCCUCCUGUUUCAGCGGGGCACAAGGAAACUUUUGGGGGUGAUGUAUAUAUUCAUUUUCUUAAUUGUGGUGGUCAUGUCACGGGGUACACACAUGUCAAAACUUUUCUAAUUGUAACUUUAUUUAGGCCACACCCAGUGGCUUGCGGGGUCUUAGUUCCCCAUCCAGGGAUUGAACCCGGCCCUCCACUGUGAAAGUGCAGGGUUCUAACCACUAGACCGCCAGGGAAUUCCCAAAUUGUAAAUUUUAAAUAUGUGCAGUUAUUGUAUGUCAAUUAUACCUCGAUAAAGCUGUUAAAUUUUUCAAUUUCUUAAAAAUGUAAAAGAUAAUACAAAAAUAAAAGAUAAAAAGUCACAUAACUUAAGAACUAAAAAGUACAGAAAGGUUUACAAUGAAAAAUUCCUAGUUGCCCUUUUCCACCACCCACUACAGAUAACAAGAAUCUUUUGCAUUGCUAUCAACUUUACCUAAGUGAAUGUUUACCUUUACUGACAAUAGUCAAUAGUAAGUAGCAAUUCAAACAAAGAUUUAUGUACCCUUAGAGAGUCAGGUAAUCCCUAGCAGAGCCUGCUGGUCAAUGCCCAGUACUGUAUUGAAAGAAUACAGUGUAAUCCUUUUUGCCUAUUUCUAAAUUUCAGAUACCUUUUCUGAGAAUUCCCUGGUGGUCCAGUGGUUAGGACUCUGAGCAGUCACUGCUGAGGGCGCAGGUUCAAUCCCUGGCCAGGGAACUAAGAUCCCACAAGCUGCACAGUAUGGCCAAAAAAAAUUAAAAUUAAA